rnacentral:rRNA from 1 species
UACGAAGGGGGCUAGCGUUGUUCGGAAUUACUGGGCGUAAAGGGCGCGUAGGCGGCCCACCACGUCAGAUGUGAAAGCCCCGGGCUUAACCUGGGAAUAGCAUUUGAGACUGAUGGGCUUGAGUUCCGGAGAGGUGGGUGGAAUUCCCAGUGUAGAGGUGAAAUUCGUAGAUAUUGGGAAGAACACCGGUGGCGAAGGCGGCCCACUGGACGGACACUGACGCUGAGGCGCGAAGGCGUGGGGAGCAAACAGG